GACGAACGCUGGCGGCGUGCCUAAUACAUGCAAGUAGAACGCACAGUUUAUACCGUAGCUUGCUACACCAUAGACUGUGAGUUGCGAACGGGUGAGUAACGCGUAGGUAACCUGCCUGGUAGCGGGGGAUAACUAUUGGAAACGAUAGCUAAUACCGCAUAAUAUUGAUUAUUGCAUGAUAAUUGAUUGAAAGAUGCUAUUGCAUCACUACCAGAUGGACCUGCGUUGUAUUAGCUAGUAGGUGAGGUAACGGCUCACCUAGGCGACGAUACAUAGCCGACAUGAGAGGGUGAUCGGCCACACUGGGACUGAGACACGGCCCAGACUCCUACGGGAGGCAGCAGUAGGGAAUCUUCGGCAAUGGACGAAAGUCUGACCGAGCAACGCCGCGUGAGUGAAGAAGGUUGUCGGAUCGUAAAGCUCUGUUGUAAGAGAAGAACGGGUGUGAGAGUGGAAAGUUCACACUGUGACGGUAUCUUACCAGAAAGGGACGGCUAACUACGUG
rnacentral:rRNA from 1 species